rnacentral:sRNA from 1 species
UCAUGGCUGACACUUCGGAGCCCUUGAGGC